AGUUUGACGUCCUGCUCCUGCCCAGGCCUCGCCAGGCCCCGGCCCUCCGCAGGCCUCAGUUCCCUUGUCUAUAAAAUGGGAGGUGGAGCCCUUGGGAGCAGAGCUGCUCACCUUUUAAGAGCAUGUGAGUCACCUGGGAAUCUUUUUAAAGGCAGAUUCUGAUGCAGUGGAUCUGGGGUGGGGCCUGGGAAGCCGCAUUUCUAAUGAGCUCCCAGGUAAGGUCCAUGCUGCUGGAUCCUGGAUUCAUCUCUCUUUUUUUUGUUGUUGUUUUGUUUUUUGAGACGGAGUUUCACUCUGUCGCCCAGGCUGCAGUGCAGUGGCGCGAUCUCGGCUCACUGCAACCUCUGCCUCCUGGGUUCAAGUGAUUCUCCUCCUUCAGCCUCCCGAGUAGCUGGGAUUACAGGCGCCUGCCACCAUGACUGGCUAAUUUUUGUAUUUUUAGUAGAGACGGGGUUUCAGUAUGUUGGCCAGGCUGGUCUCGAAUUCCUGACAUCAGGUGAUCCACCCGCCUCGGCCUCCCAAAGUGCUAUUACAAGCUUGAGCCACCGCACCUGGCCUCUGGAUUCAUCUCUAAAGGACCCGCCAGCUCCGAUGACAAUUUGUUUUUUUGGGUUGAACGAGGAAGACCUGCCUGUGUCCCAAACCCUUCUGAAGAAGUGGCUGUUCAUGUGGUCAUUAACUUAUUCCCUCAUUCAUUCAUUCAACAAGCAUCCUCUGAGCCUCUCUCUGUGACAGGUCCCUGCCUGGUGCCAGGGAUAUAGAAAUAGACAAGAUCCUGUCCUGCCCUUGAGGAACUCAUGGACACAAGAACCAGAGAUUAGCACCCAAUGUGAUCAGUGCUGGGGGAGAAAGAAGCCCAGGGCAGAGGUGCGAGAAUACCAGAGGAGCCCCUCACUAGACAUGUGAGGAGGUCAGGGAAGGCUUUUGGGGGAGAAGACCCCUCCCCCUCCCCCUCCUUUGUUUUUUAUUUUUGAGAAAAGAUCUUGCUCUGUCACCCAGCAAUCACUGCUCGCUGUAUCCUCAACCUCCCAGGCUCAAGCUCAGCCUCCUGAGUAGCAGAGAUUACAGCCUACACCAACGUACCCAGCAAAAAAUACUCUUCAAAAACAAAGGUGGCCUCUUCUAGAAGAUCUGAUUUUAUAAAAAGAAAAAGAAAAUUUUUUUUUAAAUUCAAGUGAAACUGAGACAUUUCAUACAAAUAAAAAUGGAAAGAAUUUAUCACCAGCACGUCCCCAUCAAAGAAUUAGCAAAGGGUGAUUUUCAGGCAGGAGAAAAUGGAUCCCAGAUGGAAACUUGGAGAUUUGGGAGGAAAUGAAGGCCAAUGGAGAGAGAAAAUAUUUGGUUAAUCUAAACAAAUAUUGUCUGUAUAAAACAAUAAUAAUUAGGUCUUGUGGAGUUUGAAAUAUAUAAAGGAUUCAAAUAGCAGAUGGUAACAGAUGACAAUAGCAUCCAAGUCAGGAGGGGGUAAAUGGAGUUUUAAGUGGUCUAAACUUCCUGCAUUUCCCUACGAGCAGUGAGAGUUUGUCUGUAGCAGACUUUAAUAAGUCAAGGAUACGCAUUAUAAUCUUUAGGAUAACCACUAAAAGAAAGGAGUACUAACAAAUUAAUAAAGCAAUGCCAUGGAUUAAUUAA
rnacentral:lncRNA from 1 species